rnacentral:rRNA from 1 species
GGGGGGGGGGGGGGGGGGGCGGGGGGGGUGGGGGGCGGGCGGGGGGGCCCGGCUGGGGGGGGGUGGUCGGGGGGGGGACGGGUGCGUGGCACGUGAGUGACCUGCCCUUGGCUUUGGGAGACCUUCCGGGAGCUGGGGCGAGUACCGGGGAGGAGCUCCUGCUGCAUGGUUGGGGUUGGCGAGUUUCGGCGGGUGGGGAUUGACUCGCGGCUUCUCCGCUUGUUGGUGGGGUAGUGGCUUACCCAGCCUUUGACGGGUCGCCGGCCUGAGAGGGUGACCGGCCACAUUGGGACUGAGAUACGGCCCAGACUCCUACGGGCGGCAGCAGUGGGGAAUAUUGCACAAUGGGCGGAAGCCUGAUGCAGCAACGCCGCGUGCGGGAUGACGGCCUUCGGGUUGUAAACCGCUUUCGCCUGUGACGAAGCGUGAGUGACGGUAAUGGGUAAAGAAGCACCGGCUAACUACGUG